AAUCUCCUUUGUGUGUUUGUGGGGGUAAGCCCCGUGCCAGGACGGUGCUCGGCCUCCCGCCCCAUGUUGGCCCCCCACCCCAUGCAGUCCAGCAGUGGCCCUGCCUGACCCCUCCGGUGAUCUGACCACUUCAUUGUCCUCUUGCUCUUUGCCUUUUCAGCCAUUUUGCUUGCCUUUGGCUACAAGCUCUCAGUUGUAAAGAUCGGCUCUGAGAACACAGGGAUUCUUCUCAUUAACUUUUUGUUCAAAACACAGUCCCAGCACUCUCCACUUAAAGGAAGUUCUUUGAACACGCUGGAGGGAGAACUGAGUGAGGAUGCUUGAACCAGAGCCUCCCAUGUGGAGAGGCAAGGACAGGGACUCGGAAGCCACCCUCCAGGGAGUGGAGUUUGGAGCAAAGGGGGACAGAGCUCCAGAUUGAAGGCAGGGAGGGAGCAGCAGUCCUGCCUGUCCAGGACUCCUCUCCACUCACCCCAACCUUAGCUAACCUCAGAUAAGGUUCUUCAACCCAGCAGAGCAGGAGAAAGGGGCUGGGAAAUGGCUGAACUGACCUCCUACCUCCUGACCGGCUUUAAGCAUAUGCACUGCAUGAGAUCAGAAAGUCAACAAGUGAAUCAAUGAACAAAAGCGUGAGUAAAUGCAAUCGGGUGUGAGUGGAGGUGUGCUCUGAAAACGACUCCCCCAUGCUCUGCCGAACGGAACCUGAGAAAGUGUCUGUUUAUCAGCUGCUGCCGACCUAACCCAGUGGUCCACCGUAAGCACCAAUUCUUACACUCUCUGGUCCACAAGUCAACUGUGAUUUGGCUGAUGAUCAGGGCUGGGUUCCACCAAGCAGGCAUUGAGUGGCUCAUGUGGGAGCAUCCCAGUUUCCUUCUAAGCUAUGGGCAGCCACCUGGGCAUAUCUUCUCACAGCCAGCCCCCUGCAGCAACAGCGAGCCAUACUCUGUUGUGAGUUCUUUACUGCAGCAGUGGGCAGAUGUUCAUGUUCUGUCACCUCCUCUGACGUGCACUGACCAAACCAAGUCACUUGAUCAGACCCUGGCUGACCAUGUGGGCAGUGCUCUCCACCCCCAGUGUGAAGCCAGACAACAAUCCAACCACCAUGCAAACUCUGCCCUAAACAGUGACCCAGUCAAACUUCAGGCAGCAGUGGUCACAGUCGGUGGGAUUUUCAUUGUCUUAGCGUUACUUAAUUGCAAUAAAACCAAGGGGAAAGCCACCUAGGCAGGCUCCCCCAGAGCCAUCUGUGGGGGUGGGCGGUACAAGUCAGUGACACCAACAGUGCUGGGCGACUGGCCUGGGGCUUCCCGCCAGCACAGAGAUGUGGUAUGAGAUCAUCUCUCGCUUCCAGCAGGUGGGUCCUGAACACAUUUUAACUCCAAUUUCAACUUUUAACCGCAGCUGUUGCUGUCGCUGGGGACCUCAUCUCUGCCCACUGCUGCAGUAAAGAACUCACAACCUGUUGUCUGGAAUUUCUGAAUCAGCGCCGCAGAGAGCCAGGCGGAUUAAGAACCAAGACAGGCUCCCUUCUAGGGGUGGGUGCUGGGCUCAGGUGGCCGGGGGCCUGGCAUCCUGAAGGCACACAGCAGUUCCAGAAGGACCCUGGGUCCCCUACAGAGGAGAAGAGAAGUGGGUGUGGCUGUAGCAGAGGAGGAUAGAAGGUGCUAGAUGCACGAUGCAGCCCAGGACUUGCCUGUACCACCUGGCAUUGGUGAAAAGGUGCUUGCCAGCUUGCCUUAGGCUUCUUCGGUUCCUAAGUGUGUCCUUACACUACACAGUGAGGAGGGUCAGGUGUCAGAUGGGAAGACCCAGACCCCUGGGCCCACGACUAGCUCAGGGAUCCCCAGCAUCGGACGAGGAGGACAGUCAGCUGCACCUGCAACUGAUGGGUCAAGUCUCCUCUUUCUCCUGUUCUUCCACUAUAUGGAAAGGAGGCUUAUCAGUCAGGACACUGACAUAAGAGAGAAAGCACCACCAAACUGGGUAGUGUGGGGAGAUUUUAAUGGAGAAUAGGCAGGCAAAGGUGUGGGUAGGUAAAGAAAGCUACAGAGGACAAUGAGUCCCACUGGGGCUAGCAGGGACCCUGUGCAGGGUCAGGGGUGAGAGAGUUGUCUAGAAUCUGGAGAUGGGGUGGUCACUGGGAAUGCAAAGGAGCCUACCUGAGAGAGAUGCAGGCACCCUGUGUCACCCCACAGGUGGAAUAAACACUCUGCCUUACUUUCCUUCCU